rnacentral:rRNA from 1 species
GACGUAGGGGGCCAGCGUUGUCCGGAAUUACUGGGUGUAAAGGGUUCGUAGGCGGUGUGGCAAGUCGGGAGUGAAAUCUCUGGGCUCAACCCAGAGUCUGCUUCCGAAACUGCUGUGCUUGAGUGUGGGAGAGGCGCGUGGAAUUGCAGGUGUAGCGGUGAAAUGCGUAGAUAUCUGCAGGAACACCCGUGGCGAAAGCGGCGCGCUGGACCACUACUGACGCUGAGGAACGAAAGCUAGGGGAGCAAACAGG